GAUGAACGCUGGCGGCGUGCCUAAUACAUGCAAGUCGAGCGAACGGACGAGAAGCUUGCUUCUCUGAUGUUAGCGGCGGACGGGUGAGUAACACGUGGAUAACCUACCUAUAAGACUGGGAUAACUUCGGGAAACCGGAGCUAAUACCGGAUAAUAUUUUGAACCGCAUGGUUCAAAAGUGAAAGACGGUCUUGCUGUCACUUAUAGAUGGAUCCGCGCUGCAUUAGCUAGUUGGUAAGGUAACGGCUUACCAAGGCAACGAUGCAUAGCCGACCUGAGAGGGUGAUCGGCCACACUGGAACUGAGACACGGUCCAGACUCUUACGGGAGGCAGCAGUAGGGAGUCUUCCGCAAUGAGCGAAAGCCUGACGGAGCAACGCCGCGUGAGUGAUGAAGGUCUUCGGAUCGUAAAACUCUGUUAUUAGGGAAGAACAUAUGUGUAAGUAACUGUGCACAUCUUGACGGUACCUAAUCAGAAAGCCACGGCUAACUACGUGCCAGCAGCCGCGGUAAUACGUAGGUGGCAAGCGUUAUCCGGAAUUAUUGGGCGUAAAGCGCGCGUAGGCGGUUUUUUAAGUCUGAUGUGAAAGCCCACGGCUCAACCGUGGAGGGUCAUUGGAAACUGGAAAACUUGAGUGCAGAAGAGGAAAGUGGAAUUCCAUGUGUAGCGGUGAAAUGCGCAGAGAUAUGGAGGAACACCAGUGGCGAAGGCGACUUUCUGGUCUGUAACUGACGCUGAUGUGCGAAAGCGUGGGGAUCAAACAGGAUUAGAUACCCUGGUAGUCCACGCCGUAAACGAUGAGUGCUAAGUGUUAGGGGGUUUCCGCCCCUUAGUGCUGCAGCUAACGCAUUAAGCACUCCGCCUGGGGAGUACGACCGCAAGGUUGAAACUCAAAGGAAUUGACGGGGACCCGCACAAGCGGUGGAGCAUGUGGUUUAAUUCGAAGCAACGCGAAGAGCCUUACCAAAUCUUGACAUCCUUUGACAACUCUAGAGAUAGAGCCUUCCCCUUCGGGGGACAAAGUGACAGGUGGUGCAUGGUUGUCGUCAGCUCGUGUCGUGAGAUGUUGGGUUAAGUCCCGCAACGAGCGCAACCCUUAAGCUUAGUUGCCAUCAUUAAGUUGGGCACUCUAAGUUGACUGCCGGUGACAAACCGGAGGAAGGUGGGGAUGACGUCAAAUCAUCAUGCCCCUUAUGAUUUGGGCUACACACGUGCUACAAUGGACAAUACAAAGGGCAGCGAAACCGCGAGGUCAAGCAAAUCCCAUAAAGUUGUUCUCAGUUCGGAUUGUAGUCUGCAACUCGACUACAUGAAGCUGGAAUCGCUAGUAAUCGUAGAUCAGCAUGCUACGGUGAAUACGUUCCCGGGUCU
rnacentral:rRNA from 1 species